rnacentral:rRNA from 1 species
GACGAACGCUGGCGGCGUGCUUAACACAUGCAAGUCGAACGGAAAGGCCCUGCUUUUGUGGGGUGCUCGAGUGGCGAACGGGUGAGUAACACGUGAGUAACCUGCCCUUGACUUUGGGAUAACUUCAGGAAACUGGGGCUAAUACCGGAUAGGAGCUCCUGCUGCAUGGGGGGGGUUGGAAAGUUUCGGCGGUUGGGGAUGGACUCGCGGCUUAUGAGCUUGUUGGUGGGGUAGUGGCUUACCAAGGCUUUGACGGGUAGCCGGCCUGAGAGGGUGACCGGCCACAUUGGGACUGAGAUACGGCCCAGACUCCUACGGGAGGCAGCAGUGGGGAAUAUUGCACAAUGGGCGGAAGCCUGAUGCAGCAACGCCGCGUGCGGGAUGACGGCCUUCGGGUUGUAAACCGCUUUCGCCUGUGACGAAGCGUGAGUGACGGUAAUGGGUAAAGAAGCACCGGCUAACUACGUG